UUACUUACCUGGCAGGGGAAACACCAUGAUCAAGAAUGCGGUUCACCCAGGGUGGGGCUUGUCCAUUGCACUCGCUUGGCCAUGCUGACCCCCGUGAAUUCCCCAAAUGUGGGAAUCUCCACUGCAUAAUAUAUGGUAGUGGGGGACUGCGUUUGCGCUCUGCCCUG
ensembl:snRNA U1 U1 spliceosomal RNA